rnacentral:rRNA from 1 species
UACGUAGGGGCCGAGCGUUGUCCGGAAUUACUGGGCGUAAAGCGCGCGCAGGCGGCUGAUCAAGCCUGACGUGAAAGCCCCCGGCUCAACCGGGGAGGGUCGUCGGGGACUGGUUGGCUUGAGGGCGGUAGGGGCCGGUGGAAUUCCCGGUGUAGUGGUGAAAUGCGUAGAGAUCGGGAGGAACACCAGUGGCGAAGGCGGCCGGCUGGGCCGACCCUGACGCUGAGGCGCGAAGGCGUGGGGAGCGAACGGGAUUAGAUACCCCGGUAGUCCACGCAGUAAACGAUGCAGACUAGGCGUGGGGGGACUUGACCCCCUCCGUGCCGCAGCUAACGCGAGAAGUCUGCCGCCUGGGGAGUACGGCCGCAAGGCUAAA